rfam:Acetobacteraceae bacterium AT-5844 genomic scaffold Scfld228, whole genome shotgun sequence.
UCAGACGGCCGGGCGGCCGCUGGCAUGGGAGCGAUCCCGUGCUGGAGGAAAGUCCGGGCUCCACGGAAAUACGGUGCCGGUCAACAACCGGCGGGGGCGACCCCAGGGACAGUGCCACAGAAAUCAAACCGCCGGGACGGCUUCGGCCCUCCAGGCAAGGGUGAAACGGUGCGGUAAGAGCGCACCGCGCCCCUGGCGACAGGGGCGGCACGGUAAACCCCACCGGGAGCAAGGCCGAAUAGGGGGAACCGGCGGGAUGGCUCGCAAGAGCACCGACCGCAGGGGCAUUUCCGCCCCGUUCCCCGGGUUGGCCGCGUGAGGCUCGCCGUAAGGCGAGUCCCAGAGGAAUGGUCGCCCCAUUCAUGGAUGCAAGUUCAUGAGUUGGACAGAACCCGGCUUACAGGCCGUCUGACGCU